CGUCCCUGGCGAACCUCGUUGUGCUAACCACCCGAGUUCGGUGAUGUCUUCGGACGGAUCUGGAUGAGCGUGGGAACCUGACGGGUAGUAGUCAAGCGAUGGGGUGACGCAGGAAGGUAGCUGAUCCCGGCCGGUGGUUGUGCCGGGGUAAGCGUGUAGGCCGCACCAUAGGCAAAUCCGUGGUGCAUGAAGGCUGAGACGUGAUGCCGAGCCGAUUCAGGUGAAGUCAGUGAUCCUAUGCUGCCGAGAAAAGCCUCUAGCGAGUUCUUAGCGGCCCGUACCCCAAACCGACACAGGUGGUCAGGUAGAGAAUACCGAGGCGAUCGGGCGAACUGUGGUUAAGGAACUCGGCAAAUUGCCCCCGUAACUUAGGGAGAAGGGGGGCCGGAGACGUGAAGCCCCACGCGGGUGGAGCGUUGUAUGGCCGCAGAGAGCAGGGGGAAGCGACUGUUUACUAAAAACACAGGUCCAUGCGAAGAAGUAAUUCGAUGUAUAUGGACUGACGCCUGCCCGGUGCUGGAACGUUAAGGGGACCUGUUAGCUCUUCGGGGCGAAGCGGAGAACUUAAGCGCCAGUAAACGGCGGUGGUAACUAUAACCAUCCUAAGGUAGCGAAAUUCCUUGUCGGGUAAGUUCCGACCUGCACGAAUGGCGUAACGACUUCCCCACUGUCUCAACCACAGGCCCGGCGAAAUUGCAUUACGAGUAAAGAUGCUCGUUACGCGCGGCAGGACGGAAAGACCCCGGGACCUUUACUAUAGCUUGACAUUGGUACUCGAAUUAGCUUGUGUAGGAUAGGUGGGAGCCGGUGAAGCCCAUACGCCAGUAUGGGUGGAGGCAAUCUUGAAAUACCACUCUGGUUGAUUUGGGUAUCUAACUUCGGACCGUUAUCCGGUUCAGGGACAGUGUCUGGUGGGUAGUUUAACUGGGGCGGUUGCCUCCUAAAAGGUAACGGAGGCGCCCAAAGGUUCCCUCAGCCUGGUUGGCAAUCAGGUGUUGAGUGCAAGUACACAAGGGAGCUUGACUGUGAGACUGACAAGUCGAGCAGGGACGAAAGUCGGGACUAGUGAUCCGGCACUUGCGAGUGGAAGCGGUGUCGCUCAACGGAUAAAAGGUACCCCGGGGAUAACAGGCUGAUCUUCCCCAAGAGUCCAUAUCGACGGGAUGGUUUGGCACCUCGAUGUCGGCUCGUCGCAUCCUGGGGCUGUAGCAGGUCCCAAGGGUUGGGCUGUUCGCCCAUUAAAGCGGUACGCGAGCUGGGUUUAGAACGUCGUGAGACAGUUCGGUCCCUAUCCGCCGUGCGCGUAGGAUACUUGAGAAGGGCUGUCCCUAGUACGAGAGGACCGGGACGGACGAACCUCUGGUGUGCCAGUUGUCCCGCCAGGGGCACGGCUGGUUAGCUACGUUCGGAAGGGAUAACCGCUGAAAGCAUCUAAGCGGGAAGCCUGCUUCAAGAUGAGGUAUCCCACCCACUUUGUGGGGUAAGGCCCCCAGCUAGACGACUGGGUUGAUAGGCCGGAAAUGUAAGCCCGGUAACGGGUUCAGUUGACCGGUACUAAUAGGCCGAGGACUUGACUAC
rnacentral:rRNA from 1 species